AAAUACCUUUAUGUAACAGAAAUAGCUGGUGUAAAGUAAUCAUGUUAACCCCCCUUCCCCAGUGACUGAAUUCUCCUAGUGAUAAGAUAAAUGUGACACAAACCAGAGCACGGAAGGGCAAUUAGAAAAAAUACCACAUAAUAUUUAAGGAGGACAUACUAAAUCCUUAUCAGAGGGCAUAAACCCACAGGAUGCAGACACAAGAAGAAAUAAAAUACAUUAACUUGACGCACAGGAUGUCAUGCAGAUAAACCAGAGUAUGAAGAAACCAAACAGAAGAAUUCCUGUAAUAUCAAACAGUUCACAAGAAUGUGUGAAUAAUGUAUGGCCCUUUUGAAUAUGCAUGUAUCUCAGUACCAUAACAGUAUAAAGGUAACACUGUUGGGGACUACCAGUGUGUUCUUUGGCUGUUUACCAGGAGCACCCCAGCGCUGGACUUUCGUCUCAUAUUCUAUCCCUUAUUAAACUUUUUAAAAAUCCUAAAGCGUGAACUUUGUUUUUCACAGGUCUUACUGUUGAGGUAGUCCAGGAUUCUCUCUGCAAUGUCUUUUUCAUCUCCAGCCAUCUGUUUUGCUGAGUGCUAAUUCCUCUUUCCGCAGCAACAUCCGCGCUAUUUGUAUUGACUUGUGAGGCAUCAAACCAGCAGCUGCUGCAGCAAACUGAAUAAUUCGAGCGGCAGAAGCAGGCACUUCCUCCCUGAUCCAUUUAUGGACCAGUCAAUCUUUAGACCUCCUUAAAAGGCCUAUGAUCCUAAGCAGGAGGGACUGAGGUGCCUGCACUGCCUUGAGAGAGCUCUGCAGGAAGAGACAUGGACCUGGGCAAGAGAAGACACUAGCAAAACCUCCUGGAGCUGUUGUUGGUUUGCUGGGAGAGAUGAGCACAGGUGACAGAGAGGAGCCUCCAAAGAUGAUGUACCCCCUAAAGUUUCAUGAAGACAGUUGUGCUGUGUUAAAGAAAGUCUUACCAUUCCAGCCUGUGACUGAAUACCCAAGUAUGAUUUCAAUCCCAGAGAAGAAGCCAGAUAUUACAGACAGAUGUUAAGGAGUGGCCACCCACAGAAGUAUUUUUUCUUCUUCUAUCCUUAAUUUUCAUUCACAUGUCCUUCUUAUCUAGAUUUUGAGUCCCAUGAGACACCUGACUGUUGUUUUAUCUUUAGACCACAGCAUUGCUGGGAACCUCAGUCUGCCCAGAUCUUCCCUGUGAUGAAUCUCAUAACCAAACUAUGUUCACCUCACCCAAGAAGUAAGAGUAAAAUUUCACUAAAAAAUAACAUUAUUUAUAGAAAACACAGCACAAGAAACAAACACACCAAAACCUUGGGGUGACAAACAGAAUUUUAAGUAUUCAUGAGUGAGACUGUAUCCCAAAUUCAUUUCACAGAUGUGGCAAUUGUGUCCAAAUAAUUUAGCACACCUUGAAAGCCUGGUGACCUGCCUGCUCCAUGACUUCAUCCACAGUGCUCAGUGUUGUGCUAUUGUAAAAACUGUGUGAAAAUCAAAAUGAUAAGUCUGUCCCUACAAGAAUUAAACAGCCAUCCUUGGAGGUAAUUGAAGAGCUGGUGUGGGCAUUCUGCAUAGCCUUCACAGAUCUAGGAAAUGGGUUAGUGCUAUAGUGUUGUAAGGAUGAUUUUGAAAAACAAAACAGAUUAAUUGAAAGAUAAGGAAGUGAUAGAUUAAGAAGAGAAAUUCACCCUUAUAAUAAUUUUAUUAUUUUCCUGUUCAUUAGGUACAAAUUUGAACACUGACUAAUAAAUCAUACUGCUGUUAAGCCA
ensembl:lncRNA